rnacentral:rRNA from 1 species
GAUUAACGCUGGCGGCGUGCAUAACACAUGUAAGUCGAACGAUGAUCUAUGCUAUUUAUAGCGUGGUGAUUAGUGGCGAACGGGUGAGUAACACGUAGGUGACCUGCCCCGAAGAAAGGAAUAACUCUGCGAAAGUGGAGCUAAUACCUUAUAUGGUCGGCUAUUCGUUUAGCCGACUAAAGCUCUGGCGCUUUGGGAGGGGCCUGCGGCCCAUCAGCUAGUUGGUAGGGUAAUGGCCUACCAAGGCGAGGACGGGUAGCUGGUCUGAGAGGACGAUCAGCCACAAUGGCACUGAAACACGGGCCAUACUCCUACGGGAGGCAG